rnacentral:tRNA from 1 species
ACUUUUAAAGGAUAGGUGUUAUCCGUUGGUCUUAGGAGCCAAAAAAU